AUUGAACGCUGGCGGAAGGCCUAACACAUGCAAGUCGAGCGAGCGGCGGACGGGUGAGUAAUGUAUGGGGACUGCCCGAUAGAGGGGGAUAACUACUGGAAACGGUGGCUAAUACCGCAUACUAUCGGAUAACCCAUAUGGGAUUAGCUAGUAGGUGGGGUAAAGGCUCACCUAGGCGACGAUCUCUAGCUGGUCUGAGAGGAUGAUCAGCCACCCUGAGAUGGAUACAGGUCCCAGACUCCUACGGAGGCAGCAGUGGAAAAUAUUCCACAAUGGGCGCAAGCCUGAUGCAGCCAAGCCGCUUGUAUGAAGAAGGCCUUAGGGUUGUAAAGUACUUUCAGCGGGGAGGCGUUACCCGCAGAAGACGCACCGGCUAACUCCGUGCCAGCAGCCGCGGUAAUAC
rnacentral:rRNA from 1 species